rnacentral:rRNA from 1 species
UACGUAGGGUGCGAGCGUUAAUCGGAAUUACUGGGCGUAAAGCGUGCGCAGGCGGUUUUGUAAGCCAGAUGUGAAAUCCCCGGGCUCAACCUGGGAAUGGCAUUGGAUACUGGCUCGGCUAGAGUGCGGUAGAGGGUGGUGGAAUUCCCGGUGUAGCAGUGAAAUGCGUAGAGAUCGGGAGGAACAUCUGUGGCGAAGGCGGCCACCUG